AUUUUAUAGUGUUCAACCCGCGAUCCUUCCCCAAUUUCCCCUCUGCCCCGACUAAAAAAUCCCCUCUACGCCGCCCGGCGCAUGACCGCCCGAUUCAGCGCCUCCCGCUGGAGACCGCCCGCCUCCGACGAGGGCCACGCCGGUGAUCUCCCCUCAGCCCGCCUGCCCCCUCCUUUCAUCUCCGUUCUACUCCUUCUCUCUCGGCCCCAUCGAGCUCGCCUCGAUCCAUGGCCCCUCCUUAAACCUAGCUCCGGUCUCGGCCACGACCGGCCUCGCAGAUCUCGGCCGCCAUCCCCUACGCCUCCCCCCGCGUCUCCCUCACCUCGCCCGUGCAGCACCGUGGCUGCACGUCGCCUGCGCCAUCUGCUGCAGCCCCGCUCUAAACCACUUGCAUGCCAUGGGCAGCGGCCAUGGAGGACACACCUCCGCCUGCUCACUCGCCGCUGGCCAGCCAGUACCUCCACCAACAUCUCAUCCAUCUAGAUCAGUGGCCCUUUAAUUUUAGCGGAUUUUCUUCUUCUUUACAGCAUGCUAAUUAGCUAGGAUAUAGUCUUGAUUUCAAUUAUUGCAGAAUGGCAAUCUGCUUUAUGUUGGCUUUAUCAUCUCAGGAUAAUCCAGAUGUUCUCAUAUGCCUUGAGGAGUUGUCGGUGGAUUAUAUGCAGAGGCUACCAAGUGGUAGCUCCAAUGUUGCAAGAGGUCAGUAAUGGGUGCUUCUUCUGGGAUGGCUAACCUGAGAUACCAACGCUGAAGGAUCUGAAUUUUCAAGCUCAGCAAGGCCUGCAUGUUGCAGUCUGUGGGACGGCCGGCUCUGGAAAAUCAAGUUUGCUCUCUUGAAUGGUAUGGUUCCAAAGCUAUUAGGAGAGGCCAAGACUUGCGGAACAAUGCCAUAUGUCAGCCAGACUGCAUGGAUACAAAGCGACAAAAUUCAGGACAACAUACUGCUCUGCAAGACGAUGGAGAGGGAGAAGUAUGGCAGGGUCCUUGAGUGGUGUUCGCUAAAGAAAGACUUGGAGAUCAGAAAUCAUUGGAGAGUGAGUCUGCACUCUUAGUGCCUGGCAGAAGCAAAGGACUCGGAUAGCCCGAGCAUUGUAUCAGUAUGCUGACAUCUAUUUAUUCCAUGAUCCGUUCAACGCAGUUGACAUACAGGAUCCCAAUUUUUCAAGAUCGAUGGUUUCGUCGCGGUCGGCAGGAGAAAUAUCAUCAAUGGUACGGAAAAAGGCAGGUAGGCUGAGGCGGGCGCCCACACCGAGCAGCCGAUCCAGGAAACCAGCCCUGCGGCAUCCCCUCGUGCCACUCCCCAUCUCUAUGUUUGUGUCAGGCCUAGCGCAAGGUAUUGGUAGAAGAGGAGGCCGGAAAGAGAAGCUGCAUGGUAGGAGGCUUUUGUUCUGAAGGCAAGUUGGAUGAUCUGCUGACAAAGAAACACCUCUAUUCUGAAUUUCUACUUGAAACAAUUGAUCAGAUCACAAAUGUACCUUGGUUAUGUCUCUCACUGUGUGCUGAACAAUGUUUUGCCUAUUUUCAUCUUGGUUGCUGACAUUGUUGGUGUUAUCUGUCAAAGAAAGUUGUUGAAGUGAAAGAUGAAGAUGAACCCGUAGAAGAGCUGAAAAAAGGACGUGGUAGAAAAAAGGAAGCGAAGCCUAAACAGUAUAAUGAUGUGAGUUCAGAUUUCUUAUGUUUUCUUCCCUGCUUCAUCAAUAUGAUAGCAUGGUUGUCUUCCAGAUUAUGCGAAUGUCUUUGGUUGUCAUAUACUGUGGAUGCAUUGUAGUUUGAUGUGUAGCCUGUAUUAACUGCUCAACAGACUUUCCUUGAAUAAUUAUACAUAGACUGUUCGAUCUCUUAUUGUUUAAAGAAAAUUCUAAUUAACUGCUCAACCCGUGACAGUACUGCCUCGCCCAGCGAGUUUUAGCUGAUUGAUCCUGCACAUCAGCCUAACUGCUACAAUAAAUGGACUUACAACAAUGAUUCUUUCUAUAUUGAAUUUCUAUAUUCGACCUCACCAUUGCUUAGUUUCCUUUCCUGAUGUCAAGACACAAAGAAUUUGAGAUCCAAUUUAUCUUUUUUAGUUUUUACACUAGAGUGCUUCAUUUAUAUGUAUUACUGUAGACACAUGGGAAUCCUCAAGGUGGCAGGCUUGUUCAGUUAAAUGGUAUGUUUUAUCUAGAUUGUGAUUUCAGCAUCGUUGUUCUUUCCUGGUUUGUACUACUUUUCAGGUUUUAGUGUCUGGAUCUUCAAUACGAAACAGAGUCGACGGUAUAUGUCAAUUCUGUAUUGGUUCUAGGCAAGUAGGUUGACAUGUUCAUCUGUUAUCAUGAGUGUCGUGUUUACACUUGCAGUUCAGAUAUUACGCUUAAGCUAAAGGUCUGAUUGUACUGUCUAGAGGUGGAAUGGCUAAGCUCUCUUUAUGGUCCUUUUUGCUGAAUAUCUUGCAAAUGGCACACUAAAGUGCAGGAAAUUAUUAGGUGUGUGGGUAUCAAUCCAGUAUGUUCUUAUGUCUAUGGAUCCGGGAAAUGUUGACGCUUUAUUGGUUUUGGUCAACAAAAUUUUAGGUGUACAUGCUUUCAUCUUGAAUAUAUGUAGUUCUUAAGUAAUACUACUUCUCGGUUAGUUCAUUGAAGUAAUGAUACAAUCAAUUGGAUGUUUCUCUACGGUUAUGCAUCUAGCGGGAAAAUUGUUGUUUUCACAUAAUUGUUUUUCACCAUAGUUCAUUGUCAGCAUCUUUAUUCUCCUAAUGCAGUCAUAUUGUCCAUAUAAGUGCAGCUUCUAGUUCGUAGAAGUACUAUAUACUUUUCCCAAUUGAUUUCACUAGAUUCCCUGUUUUUACAGUAAGGAUUAAACCCGUUGCAAUUUUUUGUAGUCUUGUGCUGAACACAGUUUAUAUAAAGAAAAAGAAUUUAAUCUUUCUGUUUCUUCCAUGACGAUAAAACUGAAUAUGUUUGGACAUGGGUGUCACACAAGGAAUGACGAGUUCAUGUCAAGCACCUACGACUCAGUCAUCAACAAGUCGCUAAUAAUGCAUACUUGGUUUAACUAAUUAAAGUAACAAACACAGACACCAAUCCACGGGUGCACCACAAGGCGGAAUCUCGGCGUUGACGGGAAAGAGGCUGUGGUGGAUCGGCGUUGCUGGGAAUAGGUUUGGUCGUGUCAGGUGUGGGCUUGCGGCAAGCCUCUCCUGCCUCCUGCCCUGGCAUUGGGUGGUAGACAGAAGAGGGGUAACUAAACAAAGAAUAUAUGAAAUUGCGAAAUGCCCUUUUCUCCCAUUGCAAAAUUAUUUUGUUUCUCCCGUUACGCACGGGCACACUGUUGCAAAAUGCAGGAAUAUUUUGGUUGUUCAAAUUCAUUCUUUGCUCCGUAAGUAAACCAAUUAUACAUGGGUUAGGUUAUGCCAUGCAAACUUGAUACCAUUGGGUUUGUGUUCAAAGUAAUUUAUUGUGAUUGUAAUUUGUAACUACGAACAUAUCCCCUACAUUUUGCCACUGGGUGGGUAUGUUCUGUAGAUCUGUAGAAAUCAGAGGAGCAAUAUCAUCUUGGUUCUGUAACAAGAAAUAACCGUCUGCCAACUGAAACUCUAAGAGCAGAGUGUGCAGGGUGUAAUAGUAAUCAAAUUAAAUACUAAACAUUAUAUGUGCCGAAUUCAUGUAUCAGUAAUUCUACUGGUGCUGGGAUGGUAAUGGAUAAUGGAUUGAUUAGAUUAGUAGCGCAUCUCGCAAAAAAAAAAAUCCGC
rnacentral:rRNA from 1 species